GGGAAAUUUCUCACUCAUCAAAAUGACCUCAUGAGAAAGCCUGACAUUUGUCUGGAAGAAAUGAACUUGGUCAGAGGCAGUGGCUGUAGUCUCUUGGAAUAUGCUACCCCAUCUACCAGUUCCUUGACAAGGACACAGUCCCUGCUAAUACAGUGUCACAGUAAAUUUGCUUAUCUCUUAAGAACAACGAGGUGUGCUGUAAAA
rnacentral:lncRNA from 1 species